rnacentral:rRNA from 1 species
CCUACGGGAGGCAGCAGUGGGGAAUAUUGGACAAUGGGCGAAAGCCUGAUCCAGCAAUGCCGCGUGAGUGAUGAAGGCCUUAGGGUUGUAAAGCUCUUUUACCAGGGAUGAUAAUGACAGUACCUGGAGAAUAAGCUCCGGCUAACUCCGUGCCAGCAGCCGCGGUAAUACGGAGGGAGCUAGCGUUGUUCGGAAUUACUGGGCGUAAAGCGUACGUAGGCGGUUAUUCAAGUCAGAGGUGAAAGCCUGGAGCUCAACUCCAGAACUGCCUUUGAAACUAGGUAGCUAGAAUCACGGAGAGGUUAGUGGAAUUCCGAGUGUAGAGGUGAAAUUCGUAGAUAUUCGGAAGAACACCAGUGGCGAAGGCGACUAACUGGACGUGUAUUGACGCUGAGGUACGAAAGCGUGGGGAGCAAACAGGAUUAGAUACCCUGGUAGUCCACGCCGUAAACGAUGAUAACUAGCUGUUCGGUCUCUACGAGACUGAGUGGCGCAGCUAACGCAUUAAGUUAUCCGCCUGGGGAAGUACGGUCGCAAGAUUAAAACUCAAAGGAAUUGACGGCUGAGACGNGCGAGACGACGACGAGGAGAG